AGGAUUCCCCUAGUAACGGCGAGUGAAGCGGGAUGAGCUCAAAUUUAAAAUCUGGCUGCCUCAGGUGGUCCGAGUUGUAGUCUCGAGAAGUGUUUUCCGCGUUGGCCUGUGUACAAGUCCUUUGGAAUAAGGCGUCAUAGAGGGUGAGAAUCCCGUCCUUGACACAGAUCCCCAAUGCUUUGUGAUGCGCUCUCAAAGAGUCGAGUUGUUUGGGAAUGCAGCUCAAAAUGGGUGGUAAAUUCCAUCUAAAGC
rnacentral:rRNA from 12 species